AGGUUACUGCUAUCGGUGUUCGCCUAAGCCAUGCGAGUCAUAUGUUCGUAAGAACAUGGCGUACUGCUCAGUAACACGUGGAUAACCUGCCCUUGGGUCCGGCAUAACCCCGGGAAACUGGGGAUAAUUCCGGAUAACGCACAUAUGCUGGAAUGCUUUAUGCGUAAAAUGGAUUCGUCUGCCCAAGGAUGGGUCUGCGGCCUAUCAGGUAGUAGUGGGUGUAAUGUACCUACUAGCCGACGACGGGUACGGGUUGUGAGAGCAAGAGCCCGGAGAUGGAUUCUGAGACAUGAAUCCAGGCCCUACGGGGCGCAGCAGGCGCGAAAACUUUACAAUGCGGGAAACCGUGAUAAGGGGACACCGAGUGCCAGCAUCAUAUGCUGGCUGUCCGGGUGUGUAAAAUACACCCGUUAGCAAGGGCCGGGCAAGACCGGUGCCAGCCGCCGCGGUAACACCGGCGGCCCGAAUGGUGAUCGUGAUUAUUGGGUCUAAAGGGUCCGUAGCCGGUUUGGUCAGUCCUCCGGGAAAUCUGAUAGCUCAACUAUUAGGCUUUCGGGGGAUACUGCCAGGCUUGGAACCGGGAGAGGUAAGAGGUACUACAGGGGUAGGAGUGAAAUCUUGUAAUCCCUGUGGGACCACCUGUGGCGAAGGCGUCUUACCAGAACGGGUUCGACGGUGAGGGACGAAAGCUGGGGGCACGAACCGGAUUAGAUACCCGGGUAGUCCCAGCCGUAAACGAUGCUCGCUAGGUGUCAGGCAUGGCGCGACCGUGUCUGGUGCCGCAGGGAAGCCGUGAAGCGAGCCACCUGGGAAGUACGGCCGCAAGGCUGAAACUUAA
rnacentral:rRNA from 1 species